UACGUAGGUGGCAAGCGUUGUCCGGAUUUAUUGGGGUUAAAGGGUGCGUAGGCGGUCUAUUAAGUCAGUUGUGAAAUACGGCAGCUCAACUGUCGAGGUGCAAUUGAUACUGAUGGACUUGAGUACUGAUGAGGUAAGCGGAAUGGACGGUGUAGCGGUGAAAUGCUUAGAUAUCGUCCAGAACACCGAUAGCGAAGGCAGCUUACUAAGGAGUAACUGACGCUGAGGCACGAAAGUGUGGGGAUCAAACAGG
rnacentral:rRNA from 1 species